rnacentral:rRNA from 1 species
GACGUAGGGCGCAAGCGUUGUCCGGAUUUAUUGGGCGUAAAGAGCUCGUAGGCGGCUUGUUGCGUCGUCCGUGAAAACCCGCAGCUCAACUGCGGGCUUGCGGACGAUACGGGCAGGCUGGAGUUCGGUAGGGAGACUGGAAUUCCUGGUGUAGCGGUGAAAUGCGCAGAUAUCAGGAGGAACACCGGUGGCGAAGGCGGGUCUCUGGGCCGAUACUGACGCUGAGGAGCGAAAGCGUGGGGAGCGAACAGG